rnacentral:rRNA from 1 species
AUUCCAGCUCCAAUAGCGAAUAUUAAAGUUGUUGCAGUUAAAAAGCUCGUAGUCGGAUUUCGGGGCCUGCCGAGCGGUCUGCCGAUGGGUAUGCACUGUUCGGCGCGUCCUUCUUUCCGGAGACUAAUUCUACUCUUAACUGAGCGGAAUUGGGAGACGGAUCGUUUACUUUGAAAAAAUCAGAGUGUUUCAAGCAGGCAGCUCGCUCUUGCAUGGAUUAGCAUGGGAUAAUGAAAUAGGACUUUGGUGCUAUUUUGUUGGUUUCGAACACCGAAGUAAUGAUUAACAGGGACAGUCAGGGGCACUCGUAUUCCGCCGAGAGAGGUGAAAUUCUCAGACCAGCGGAAGACGAACCACUGCGAAAGCAUUUGCCAGGGAUGUUUUCAUCA